rnacentral:lncRNA from 1 species
AGACAGGCUGAGCUCCUUGCUGGGAGGCCUUUAAAACAAGAACAGGUUUCAUUGAUCUGAGACUAGGUAAGGAUGCUGCCACGAGUCAGGAAGGAGUCGAAGUCAUCUGUCCUGGUACCUGGAAGUGCCUGAACAUGAUGGGCCUGGGUGGUUAUUAUUCUUCUCAUCAGCUGGCACUGUAACUUUAGGGCUCAACCCCCGCUGUGCUCUGCGGUCGCAGCUGCAGCCGCUUCGGUGCUCCAAGACCAGAGAGGAAGCAAAGACAGAGCUUUCCCAGCCAGGCAUCGCUGCUUUGGCCUUGAAGCUCAGCGUGUGGCUACCUGGACCAAUUCUGUCUGAUGGGGUGUGCAGUAGUGUCAUGAACUACUUCUAUCCCAGGAAGUAACUUGUAAAUGAGUGGAUGAGCCAAUUCUCCUUCUUUCUCUUCCUGCUGGCUGAAGUGUGGACAUGAUGGCAGGAGCUGCAGCAGUCACAUUGGACCAUGGGUCAUCGUGGGAAUGGAAGUCACACAAGGGUAUUUAAAGCCACACAAGGAUAAUGAGCACUGGAUAGAUGGAGCCCGAGUCCCCAUCACAGUGUAGCCCCUGUAACAGAUCUAGACUUCCUGCCUCCCACAUUGAGUAAACUGCUCUCUUGCUUAAGCCACUAUUAUGUUAGGAUUUUUUCAACCCAUAGUCAGAGAUAGUCCUAACUGAUUCACCACCCUCAGAGAGUUUACAGCCAAUUAUGUUUCUCAUGAAAAAGGUUAGCCAGUGGUUGUAAGUGAUCCCGGACUGGAGCGCCAGCUGCACUAAGGCAGUUCGUCUGUGGGAUGGCUCUGUCCUUGUCAGGGAGAGGACCCCUCCUACACACUGGCAUGUUACCACAAGUACAGUGGUAACUAAGCAGGUCGGCAUAGGUGCCCACAGAGCAGACUGAACACCCCGUUUGCUUCCCUCUCCUCUCCGAACUCCCUGGACAUGGCCAAGUAGCAUAAGCCAAGCAGAGGUGAGAAGGAGAGUGGGGCACAGGCAAGUUACCAGUGGGCCCGCGGCUAUCAUGGACUUCCAGAAAAUAAAAAACAGGCAUGAUGGUGUUGGUUUAUAAACCAAAGCAGAGGGCACUGGAGCCCCGUAAGUGUGCAGGAGUGAAUGUAUGUGGCAGGGAGAAGGGUAGAAGGGAGGAGGUUGGGUAGAAGGCUACCUCUACCAGCUGGAAAUGAGUGGUGAAGUCAGCUGGACUUCUGGGUGGGGCGGGGACUUGGAGAACUUUUCUGUCUUACAAAGGGAUUGUAAAAUGCACAAAUCAGCACUCUGUAGAUAGGAUUGUAAAACGCACCAAUCAGCUCUCUGUGGCUAGCUAGAGGUUUCUAAAAUGGACCAAUCAGUGCUUUGUAAAGUGGACCAAUCAGAACACUGUAAAAUGGACCAAUUAGUGCUCUGUAAAAUGGACCAAUCAGACCAAUCAGCACUCUGUAAAAUGGACCAAUCAGCAGGACAUGGGUGGGGACAAAUAAGGGAAUAAAAGCUGGCCACCCUCCAGUCAGCAGCAGGCAACCCACUGGGUCCCCAUCCCUGUUGUGGUGUAUUUGUUAUUUUGCUCUUGGCAAUAAAUCUUGCUGCUGCUCACUCUUUGGGUCCGUGCCACCUUUAAGAGCUGUAACACUCACUGUGAAGGUCCAGGACUUCAUUCUUGCGGUCAGCGAGACCACGAACCCACUGGAAAGAACCAACUCCCGACACGGAAAGGCUGCAAGGUUAGGGUCCACAGUUUGGGAAGAGUGGAGCCUAGGGUCUUCACUCAGGGGUAUGGAUGGAGAGAACAGUGGGGGGAGCUCUUUGCUCUAAUCCCAGGCUCCACCCUGCCUCAAAGAGGCUACGAGUACUGUUUUGUAGUAGGAUAAAACCAAUGAUAUGCUUAUGCUGUAGAUGGAACCAUGUGCCCCUGAAACUCAUAUGUUGAGUUUCACCCCACUGUGAUGGUAUUAGGAGGAGGAAACUUUGGGAGGUGACUAGGUCAUGCGAGCAGAGCUCUCAUGAAUGAGGUUAGUGCCUUAGAAAACAAGAGCCUGCGUAGUGGUGUGCGCCUGUAAUUCCAGCUACUCUGGAGGCUGAGGCAGGAGAAUUGCAUGAAGCCGGGAGGCAGCGAUUGCAGUGAGCCGAGAUCGCACCACUGCACUCCAGUCUGGCCAACAAAACGAGACUCCGUCUCAAAAAAACAGAAGGAAAAAAAAAGAAAAGAGCUUGGAGAACCCCCUCUCCUCUUCUGCCAGGUGAGGCCACAGCAAGAAGACUGCGGUCUACGAACCAGGAAGAGGCCUUCACCAGUCACCAAAUAUGCUGGCGCCUUAAUUUUAGACUUUCCAGUUUCUGGAACUGUGAGAAAUGAAUUUCUG